GCCUGGGUGGCUCAGUCAGUUAAGCGUCUGACUUCAGCUCAGGUCAUGAUUUCGUGGUUUGUGGGUUCAAGCCCCACAUCAGGCU
rnacentral:tRNA from 1 species